CGAUCUUCCAUCGUCCAUUCAUGGAUGGAAGAACCAAUUUUUUUCGCCUCUUUUUCUCUUCCUUGGGAUUUUUUUUUCAUUGGGGCAACCCCUGAACUGAUCCCAAUGAUAACAGCCGAGUAGAGGUCGACGAUCAAGAGGACUUUCAUCGGUUGAAAGAUAUGUCGGUCCCGAAGCAGAAAGAGCUUGUAACCGAACAGACCCUUUAUGAUGCCGGCCUUAGUUCGGUUCCCUGCCUAGGUAUAGUAUAGUUGGUCGGUUACUCUUGAUUUUCUACUUGCUUGCUGACUUGUACUGACCUCUGUUGUAAUUACAGCUAUGCAGUAGAGAACGUGAGUAUCGAAUGCCGACAUUCGUCAGCACGU
rnacentral:lncRNA from 1 species